rnacentral:miRNA from 12 species
ACAGCAAAGUGGAAGAGGCCGA